GUGAGGAAUAUUGGUUAAUGGGCGGGAGCCUGAACCAGCCAAGUCGCGUGAAGGAAGAAGGAUCUAUGGUUCGUAAACUUCUUUUGCAGGGGAAUAAAGUGCAGGACGUGUCCUGUUUUGUAUGUACCCUGAGAAUAAGGAUCGGCUAACUCCGUGCCAGCAGCCGCGGUAAUACGGAGGAUCCGAGCGUUAUCCGGAUUGAUUGGGUUUAAAGGGUGCGUAGGUGGUUUGAUAAGUCAGCGGUGAAAGUUUGCAGCUUAACUGUAAAAAUGCCGUUGAAACUGUCGGACUUGAGUGUAAAUGAGGUAGGCGGAAUGCGUGGUGUAGCGGUGAAAUGCAUAGAUAUCACGCAGAACUCCGAUUGCGAAGGCAGCUUACUAAGCUACAACUGACACUGAAGCACGAAAGCGUGGGGAUCAAACAGGAUUAGAUACCCUGGUAGUCC
rnacentral:rRNA from 1 species